AGCAGUGAAUGCCGACCAACCAUUGAGAUGCCCGUCGCCUGUGAAGAUUCUAGAGCAGGAGUGCAUGGUCAAUGGCACAAGACUUCUUGCAAGUGGAAACUAGAUGUGGAAAACAUCCAGAAAAGCCAAAGACAAUAAGAAAGUGCACAGUAUUAGUACUGGGAUAUUUGAGGUGGUCUGCGUGUCUUUAGCUGUCCCUAACUAUCUAGAGGGCAGGACAGCAGCUGGUAUGGCCUGCAGAGUUGAUUCUUGUACAAUUUUUUGUGGUCUGUAUGUAAAUGGGUUGUUUUCACAAUGUUCUCCUAUGAAGGUUAUGGGUGAGCUGAUAAACUCAAGUUAUCAAGUGUUUAGACUGAGUAGAGUAAAUGUAAUCAUGACUGGGAAGCAGCAGUUCUCCAUUAUGGGCUGUUUUCUUAUUAAUCCAGCAUUGCUUGGAAAUCCUGCAAUAAACAUUCAGUUGCAUAUAUU